UUCUGAAUGCAACUUUUCCCCGCCCCAAUAGGAAGUCAAAGCAGACGCCUACGAAGAUGGCAUCUCAGAGAGAGAGCUGACCAAGGGGUUGAACAUGUAGAUAUUGCCAGAUGUUCACUGUCCGAGGAACAGGCCGUGGAAGCUUUAUUGCUGGCAAACGUGUCCAUAACCAGAGGAAAUUAAACUGUUUUGUGUUCUUAUUCCCCAUCUCUGCCUGCCUUGUUGUACAUGGAACUUGUCUCACAUGCAUUAAAUAAAAUAUUAAGAUGUCAGCUGCUAUUUUUCAAAUUUACACUACAUAAACGCAGCCAUUUCACUGGACCAUAGCCUUGCAAUAACCAAGUGGUGAGACACAUAGCCCUCUAUAUUUAAAUAUUGCAGGUACACUCCGAUAGGUGUUUGUGUCAUACAGUAUCUUCUAUUGACAUUAUCUUCUAUUGUUUUUCUUCAUGCGUAUGUUUUUCAGCAUAAAGUACUAGCCACUUAGUGUGGACACCAGGUGAGACCACACACACACACACACAAUAACAGUCUCUCUUCUUCCCUCUCCCCCUUCUCCCUAAAUCCUCUAGGUUAUAUCAGCUGUUUUGGAGAACCCCUCCCGCAUCUGAACUGGUUGACACAGAGGGCACAGCAUGAUCAUAGGUAUGUUUUGAAGUGAGAGAGCAAGCCAGUCCCGUCAUGGCCACCUCACUCGAACUUAAGAUAACCUUCGGGCCAACGAAGGAGUGGCCUAGCCAGUCUCCGGAUCUCAACCCCAUCUUUGGAGGGAGUUGAAAGUCCGUGUUGCCUAGCAACAGCCCCAAAAUAUCACUGCUCUAGAUCAGAUUUGCAUAGAGGAAUGGGCCAAAAUACCUGCAACUGUGUGAAAACCUUGUGAAGACUUACAGAAAACGUUUGACCUCUGUCAUUGCCAACAAAGGGUAUAUAACAAAGUAUUGAGAUAAACUUUUGUUAUUGACCAAAUACUUAUUUUCCACCAUAAUUUGAAAAUAAAUUCAUUAAAAAUCCUACAAUGUGAUUUUUCUGGAUUUCU